GGGCAGAUCGAGGGGCUCGCGGCCUAUCAGCUAGUUGGCGGGGUAAUGGCCCACCAAGGCACCGACGGGUAGCUGGUCUGAGAGGAUGGCCAGCCACAUUGGGACUGAGAAACGGCCCAG
rnacentral:rRNA from 1 species